CCCUUCGGGGUGUGACUGCGUACCUUUUGUAUAAUGGGUCAGCGACUUAUAUUCUGUAGCAAGGUUAACCGUAUAGGGGAGCCGCAGGGAAACCGAGUCUUAAUUGGGCGUUAAGUUGCAGGGUAUAGACCCGAAACCCGGUGAUCUAGCCAUGGGCAGGUUGAAGGUUGGGUAACACUAACUGGAGGACCGAACCGACUAAUGUUGAAAAAUUAGCGGAUGACCUGUGGCUGGGGGUGAAAGGCCAAUCAAACCGGGAGAUAGCUGGUUCUCCCCGAAAGCUAUUUAGGUAGCGCCUCGUGAAUUCAUCUCCGGGGGUAGAGCACUGUUUCGGCUAGGGGGCCAUCCCGGCUUACCAACCCGAUGCAAACUGCGAAUACCGGAGAAUGUUAUCACGGGAGACACACGGCGGGUGCUAACGUCCGUCGUGAAGAGGGAAACAACCCAGACCGCCAGCUAAGGUCCCAAAGUCAUGGUUAAGUGGGAAACGAUGUGGGAAGGCCCAGACAGCCAGGAUGUUGGCUUAGAAGCAGCCAUCAUUUAAAGAAAGCGUAAUAGCUCACUGGUCGAGUCGGCCUGCGCGGAAGAUGUAACGGGGCUAAACCAU
rnacentral:rRNA from 1 species